AGCUCCCGCUCCCGCACCGGUCUGCGGCGGCCGUUCACCAGCGCACCCUCUGCUCCGCUGGCCGGAUCGGGCCACAGGCGCCCGCCGUGGUGCCGAAAAAGAAGAUGGUGUCAACCCCCGCCGAAUCAAAUGCGGCCGUGUACGCGGGCUCGACGAUGUUUUCUGCCGUGGCGCCCAAGCCGAGCUCACUCCCCAUGCCAGCCUUCUUCCUCUGGCGCGCGGAGUCCGAGGCCACCCAAGGUCUCCUCCGCAUCGGCGAGCUCGCCUAACAUGGCUGACAGUCCCUCAACCAGACUCUGUCUACUCCUCCAUUCACCCUUCAGCUUCGUCUGACAACACCAUGAACGUCGACACUAGGCCAAUUUAACUCUUGUUGAUGCGGGUGGUGGAGGUGCUGUUACUAUAUAUUAUAUUGUCAUCCAUGAUGACAUCAUCCUCAGCCGUGACGAUCAGGUCGAUGCGGGGAGACAUCCUGUGCGCUAGGCGAAAGAGCUACCUCAAGUGUGGAGUCGUCGUCGACUACGAUGCUGGCCUGCAUGCACACAUGCAAGAUGUUUCGUGAGUGAGUCAGUCACGGCAGACGACACCCAAACGUACAUACAUAAUUUUUUUUUCCCGUGUUUGUUUCCAUAAUGAGGAUCAACACUUUAGCUUACUUUUUUCGUUGUGAAACAGCUAAGAUAAGCAGGAAGCGACGAGAAAAGAAUGAACACAAAACGAAAGA
rnacentral:lncRNA from 1 species